UGGGGAAUAUUGCACAAUGGGGGAAACCCUGAUGCAGCCAUGCCGCGUGUAUGAAGAAGGCCCUAGGGUUGUAAAGUACUUUCAGUUGGGAGGAAAGUUUGUGAGUUAAUACCUUACAGAUGUGACGUUACCAACAGAAGAAGCACCGGCUAACUCCGUGCCAGCAGCCGCGGUAAUACGGAGGGUGCAAGCGUUAAUCGGAAUUACUGGGCGUAAAGCGCGCGUAGGUGGUUUGGUCAGUCAGAUGUGAAAGCCCAGGGCUCAACCUUGGAACUGCAUCUGAUACUGCUAAGCUAGAGUACAAUAGAGGGUAGUGGAAUUUCCUGUGUAGCGGUGAAAUGCGUAGAUAUAGGAAGGAACACCAGUGGCGAAGGCGACUACCUGGAUUGAUACUGACACUGAGGUGCGAAAGCGUGGGGAGCAAACAGG
rnacentral:rRNA from 1 species